UGUAAACCCUCGAGAGAGUCAUAAGCACGCUCGUUGCUUAUGCUUGUGAUUACGUAGAUGUUAAUGUUCCAACUUUUGCUUAUUGUUUUUCUUUAACACUUUAUUGACACUUGACACAACAUUCAAAAUAGAUAUAUUCUAUUCAAACAGUUCAUGAAAAAAAUUAUUGCUUUGUUCAGACAGUUGGAUUGGCUGGAUUUGAACAGGACGUUCUAUACGAGAAGGGAUUACGUUGGUUUUAUUCAGUUAUUUUGGGGAUGAUUGACGUAUUAUCAGUGUACCGUAUGUCAAGAAGCAUCCUAUGGUGAUACAGCAUUCGUUCUCCGCAAGAAUAUUUCUCUCCACAUAUCUGUUGUAAAAGAGUGAAAGACAAAUAAUAUUUUAAAGAACAUAUAAAGUUUUUUUUGAAAGCUGAAACAAGCAAUAUCGUUAAAAUGGAUAAAGUUCAAGAACUUUCUGAAGCACUGCCUUUACCAAGUCAGCCAUUCUUAAACGUCGAAGUAAAUGAAUGCAAAGAAAGUUGAGUGAGUCUGUGUUAGUGAAACCAUGCUACAGGUGAAACUAGGUAAUGAACAAAUCAUGUUUUUGUUUUGUAAAGAAACUUGAAUAAUUUUAAUAUGUUACUAGAUUGACGUCACUGGUCAUAUGUUGUGCUUCAACAGACUCACUUCUUCAAAUACCACUGUGCUGUCAAAACGUGAACAAAACCAUUUAUUCAAUUUAAUAAUAAGCAUUAACAUCUUAAUAGUAUUUACCACUUUAUUUUAGCACUAUCCCAGAGUAUAGAAUUAUAAAGCUUGUCAAAGACUUUCUUAUCAACAUGAAAACAAUUCAUGGCGACUCAUGUUUCGUAGAAUUUGUUGAUCCUUUUUAAUGGAACAUGUCAAGAGCAUAACUAUUGUGUAUGACACAGAUAAUUUUUCAACAUAUGGCAAGAUAAUUGAUUUGAAAAAAGUUAUGCUAAAGUAUCAUGUCUAUCAACUUCAUGAUGGGGGGCAUGGAUAUGAAGAACUUGAAGAACUCCAUCUUUUUAAAAUCACUCCCAAACAAUGACAUUUUCAAAGUAUAUAUUAGUCACGUGUUUGAAUC